rnacentral:rRNA from 1 species
CAAUAAGCGGAGGAAAAGAAACUAACAAGGAUUCCCCUAGUAACUGCGAGUGAAGCGGGAAAAGCUCAAAUUUAAAAUCUGGUGGCCUUUGGCCAUCCGAGUUGUAAUUUAGAGAAGUGUCUUCCGCGCUGGACCGUGCACAAGUCUCCUGGAAUGGAGCGUCAUAGAGGGUGAGAAUCCCGUCUUUGGCACGGACUCCCGGUGCUUCUGCGAUGCACUCUCAAAGAGUCGAGUUGUUUGGGAAUGCAGCUCAAAAUGGGUGGUGAACUCCAUCUAAAGCUAAAUACUGGCGAGAGACCGAUAGCGAACAAGUACCGUGAGGGAAAGAUGAAAAGCACUUUGGAAAGAGAGUGAAACAGUACGUGAAAUUGUUGAAAGGGAAACGCUUGAAGUCAGUCGCGUUGACCGAGACUCAGCCUUGCCCUUGGCUUGGUGUGGUUCUUGGUUCGACGGGUCAGCAUCAAUUUCGAUCCUUGGAUAAUGGCAAGGGAAAGGUAGCACCUUUUAGGUGUGUUAUAGUCCUCUGUCGGAUGCAAGGGUUGGGAUUGAGGAACUCAGCACGCACCUCCGGGUGUCGGGGUCUUGCCCACGUUACGUGCUUAGGAUGCUGGCAUAAUGGCUUUAAACGACCCGUCUUGAAACACG